GACGAACGCUGGCGGCGUGCUUAACACAUGCAAGUCGAACGGAAAGGCCCUGCUUUUGUGGGGUGCUCGAGUGGCGAACGGGUGAGUAACACGUGAGUAACCUGCCCUUGACUUUGGGAUAACUUCAGGAAACUGGGGCUAAUACCGGAUAGGAGCUCCUGCUGCAUGGUGGGGGUUGGAAAGUUUCGGCGGUUGGGGAUGGACUCGCGGCUUAUCUGCUUGUUGGUGGGGUAGUUGCUUACCAAGGCUCUGACGGCUAGCCGGCCUGAGAGGGUGACCGGCCACAGUGGGACUGAGAUACGGCCCAGACUCCUACGGGAGGCAGCAGUGGGGAAUAUUGCACAAUGGGCGGGAGCCUGAUGCAGCAGCGGCGCGUGCGGGAUGACGGCUUUCGGGUUGAAAACCGCUUUCGCCGGUGACGAAGCGUGAGUGACGGUAAUGGGUAAAGAAGCACCGGCUAACUACGUG
rnacentral:rRNA from 1 species